rnacentral:rRNA from 1 species
GCAAAAAGCACGCUGCGUUCCUCAGUCCCCCAGGAUGUAUCCAACGGAAAGCUAUAACACAGCCGAGACUGCUACCUUCAAACCGUCAUUAUCCACCCCGGAAAACUGAUGCUGGCCUGCAAACCGAAGCAAGCUCCGGCAAGCAAGUCUGACUUCAAGCGUUUCCCUUCCAACAAUUUCACGUACUGUUAACUCUCUUUCCAAAGUGCUUUUCAUCUUUCCCUCACGGUACUUGUUCGCUAUCGGUCUCUCGCCAAUAUUUAGCUUUAGAUGGAAUUUACCACCCAAUUUGAGCUGCAUUCCCAAACAACUCGACUCAUUGAAAGUGUAUCACAAAGCGCUGGGCGUCCGCACCAUAUACGGGGGUUUCACCACUAUGCCGCUGUAUUCCAACAGACUUGUGUGCGGUCCAACGCGGAAAACACUUCUAGAGAUUACAACUCGGACACCGAAGGUGCCAGAUUAUAAAUUUGAGCUCUUCCCGCUUCGCUCGCCGCU